CAGAAAAUAGUUUAUUUAAAAUUUUAAUUUUGGGGAUUAAUGAAAGUCUUUUGACUUUUUCUGA
rnacentral:tRNA from 1 species